UGAGGAAUAUAGGUCAAUGGGGGCAACCCUGAACCAGCCAAGUCGCGUGAAGGAUGAAGGUCUUAUGGAUUGUAAACUUCUUUUAUACAGGAAUAAAUUGGGGGACGUGUCCCCUUUUGCAUGUACUGUAUGAAUAAGGAUCGGCUAACUCCGUGCCAGCAGCCGCGGUAAUACGGAGGAUCCGAGCGUUAUCCGGAUUUAUUGGGUUUAAAGGGUGCGCAGGCGGGAUGUUAAGUCGGCGGUGAAAUUUUGCAGCUCAACUGUAAAAGUGCCUUCGAUACUGGCUUCCUUGAGUGUAGAUGAAGUAGGCGGAAUUUGUGGUGUAGCGGUGAAAUGCUUAGAUAUCACGAGGAACUCCGAUUGCGCAGGCAGCUUACUAAACUACAACUGACGCUCAUGCACGAAGGCGUGGGGAUCAAACA
rnacentral:rRNA from 1 species